GAAAAAAGAGGGUGGCCAAACGAUGGCGUAUGUCAACUUUGCAAAUGCCAACCGGAGAAGGCAACUCGCCUCCUUUUCCAAUGCCGAUACACAAAAAGGAUUUGGUGCAUGAUCAUGGAUUGGCUUGGCAGAAGACUUGACCCCUCAAACUGGCAAUAUUUCAAUGAUGUCCACACUUGGUGGACCAAAACGGUUAGCCCCAACACGCGACCAAACAAGGCCUUCGCUUUACUUCUCAUGCUCGUGUCUUGGGAGAUAUGGAAUGAGAGAAAUGCUAGAGUAUUUCGUAAAUUUGCUUCUUUGCCAUCGUUUGUAUUUGACAAUAUCAAGAGAAAGGCUAGGUUGUGGUGUAUCGCCGGGGCACAACAUUUAGGAGCGAUUGCCCCAAGAGAGUAA
rnacentral:rRNA from 1 species